AGAGUUUGAUCCUGGCUCAGAAUCAACGCUGGCGGCGUGCCUCAGACAUGCAAGUCGAACGAUUAAACUUUCCUUCGGGAGAGAUAUAAAGUGGCGCACGGGUGAGUAACACGUAGGUAAUCUACCUUUGAGUGGGGAAUAACGUUCGGAAACGAACGCUAAUACCGCAUAAUGCAGCAGCACCGCAAGGUGACAGUUGUUAAAGGAGCAAUCCGCUUAAAGAGGAGCCUGCGGCAGAUUAGCUAGUUGGUAAGGUAAUGGCUUACCAAGGCGACGAUCUGUAACCGACCUGAGAGGGUGGUCGGUCACACUGACACUGAAUAACGGGUCAGACUCCUACGGGAGGCAGCAGUCGGGAAUUUUGGGCAAUGGGCGAAAGCCUGACCCAGCAACGCCGCGUGAAGGAUGAAGUAUUUCGGUAUGUAAACUUCGAAAGAAUGGGAAGAAUAAAUGACGGUACCAUUUAUAAGGUCCGGCUAACUACGUGCCAGCAGCCGCGGUAAUACGUAGGGACCAAGCGUUGUUCGGAUUUACUGGGCGUAAAGGGCGCGUAGGCGGCGUGUUAAGUCAGCUGUGAAAUCUCCGAGCUUAACUCGGAACGGUCAGCUGAUACUGAUGUGCUAGAGUGCAGAAGGGGCAAUCGGAAUUCUUGGUGUAGCGGUGAAAUGCGUAGAUAUCAAGAGGAACACCUGAGGUGAAGACGGGUUGCUGGGCUGACACUGACGCUGAGGCGCGAAAGCUAGGGUAGCAAACGGGAUUAGAUACCCCGGUAGUCC
rnacentral:rRNA from 1 species